rnacentral:rRNA from 1 species
CCAAGGAGUAUAACAUUUGCGCGAGUCUUAGGGCUCCCCCCCAACCCUCAAGCCACAAUGAAAGUGAAGUUCGUCCAUGCCCGCCGACCGAGGCGGGAUCCGCAAACCCUGCUGCCCCGGGUCUUUUUCUUUACGGGGGAGAUCUUUGUUUGGCCUCGGGGAGCGGCGCACCGCCGGCCCGUCUCGACCGCAACGCCGGUGAGGCGGAGCCAGAGCGCACACGUUGGGACCCGAAAGAUGGUGAACUAUGCCUAGGCAGGACGAAGCCAGAGGAAACUCUGGUGGAGGUCCGUAGCGAUUCUGACGUGCAAAUCGAUCGUCGGACCUGGGUAUAGGGGCGAAAGACUAAUCGAACCAUCUAGUAGCUGGUUCCCUCCGAAGUUUCCCUCAGGAUAGCUGGUACUCGAGGAGGGACAGUCUCAUCCGGUAAAGCGAAUGAUUAGAGGCCUUGGGGCCGAAACGACCUCAACCUAUUCUCAAACUUUCAAUGGGUGAGAAGUCCGGCUUGCUCGACUGAAGCCCGGACAUCGGAUGCAAGUGCCCAGUGGGCCACUUUUGGUAAGCAGAACUGGCGCUGUGGGAUGAACCAAACGCCGGGUUAUGGCGCCCGAUGGGGACGCUCAUCAGACCCCAUGAAAGGUGUUGGUUGCUAUAGACAGCAGGACGGUGGCCAUGGAAGUCGGAAUCCGCUAAGGAGUGUGUAACAACUCACCUGCCGAAGCAACUAGCCCUGAAAACGGAUGGCGCUCCAGCGUCGAGCCCAUACCCGGCCUCCGAGGCAGAGCCCAUUGAAAAGAAAAUUGUUUUUUUUCUCGAAAGGCCCCAGACGCCCCGGCGAGUAGGAGGGUCGCAGCGGCGAGUGUUGAAGGAGUCGGGCGUAGGCCCGCCUGAAGCUGCCGCGGGUGCAGAUCUUGGUGGUAGUAGCAAAUACUCGAGUGAGAACCUUGAGGACUGAAGUGGAGAAGGGUUCCAUGUGAACAGUCCUAAGGAAUAGGGGAAACUCGUUCCGAAUUGGGGGUUUAAAUUUUUGUCCGAGCUCCUGACUAGACCGAAAGGGAAUCGGGUGAAUAUUCCCAAACCCGGACAUGGAGAUCCAGUGCAGUGACGCAAACGAACUCGGAAACGUCGGCGGGAGUCCCGGGAAGAGUUGUCUUUUCUUUGUAAUGAACGGACUCCCUGGAAUCGGCUCGCCCGGAGAUAGGGAUGUUGUUCCCAUAAAGCAUCGCGCCUCCUGCGAUGUCCGGAGCGCUCCUGCCGGCCCUUGAAAAUCCGAGGGAGAGAGUGUGAUUUUCGUGCCGAACCGUACUCAUAUCCGCAGCAGGUCU